UACUGCACAAUGGGGGAAACCCUGAUGCAGUGACGCCGCGUGAGUGAAGAAGUAUUUCUGUAUGUAAAGCUCUAUCAGCAGUGAAGAUNNUGACGGUACCUGACUAAGAAGCCCCGGCUAACUACGUGCCAGCAUCCGCGGUAAUACGUAGGGGGCAAGCGUUAUCCGGAUUUACUGGGUGUAAAGGGAGCGUAGGUGGCAGGGCAAGUCAGAUGUGAAAACCCGGGGCUCAACCCCGGGAGUGCAUUUGAAACUGUCCAGCUGGAGUGCAGGAGAGGUAAGCGGAAUUCCUAGUGUAGCGGUGAAAUGCAUAGAUAUUAGGAGGAACACCAGUGGCGAAGGCGGCUUACUGGACUGUAACUGACACUGAGGCUCGAAAGCGUGGGGAGCAAACAGG
rnacentral:rRNA from 1 species